rnacentral:rRNA from 1 species
UACGGAAGGCAGUAGUGGGGAAUAUUGCACAAUGGGCGCAAGCCUGAUGCAGCCAUGCCGCGUGUAUGAAAAAGGCCUUCGGGUUGUAAAGUACUUUCAGUCGUGAGGAAGGUGUUAAGGUUAAUAACCUUAGCAAUUGACGUUAGCGACAGAAGAAGCACCGGCUAACUCCGUGCCAGCAGCCGCGGUAAUACGGAGGGUGCGAGCGUUAAUCGGAAUUACUGGGCGUAAAGGGCACGCAGGCGGUUAAUUAAGUUGGAUGUGAAAUCCCCGGGCUUAACCUGGGAAUGGCAUUCAAGACUGGUUAGCUAGAGUCUUGUAGAGGGGGUAGAAUUCCAUGUGUAGCGGUGAAAUGCGUAGAGAUGUGGAGGAAUACCGGUGGCGAAGGCGGCCCCUGGACAAAGACUGACGCUCAUGUGCGAAAGCGUGGGGAGCAAACAGGGAUUAGAUACCCGU